UACGUAGGGUGCGAGCGUUUGUCCGGAAUUAUUGGGCGUAAAGAGCUCGUAGGCGGCUUGUCGCGUCGGAUGUGAAAGCCCGGGGCUUAACUCCGGGUCUGCAUUCGAUACGGGCAGGCUAGAGUUCGGUAGGGGAGAUCGGAAUUCCUGGUGUAGCGGUGAAAUGCGCAGAUAUCAGGAGGAACACCGAUGGCGAAGGCGGAUCUCUGGGCCGAUACUGACGUGAGGAGCGAAAGCGUGGGGAGCGAACAGG
rnacentral:rRNA from 1 species